CCUACGGGUGGCAGCAGUAGGGAAUCUUUCACAAUGGGCGAAAGCCUGAUGGAGCAACGCCGCGUGCAGGAUGAAGGCCUUCGGGUUGUAAACUGCUUUUAUAAGCGAGGAAUAUGAUGGUAACUUAUGAAUAAGGAUCGGCUAACUACGUGCCAGCAGCCGCGGUCAUACGUAGGACCCGAGCAUUAUCCGGAGUGACUGGGUGUAAAGAGUUGCGUAGGUGGUAUAGUAAGUAGCUAGUGAAAUCUGGUGGCUCAACCAUUCAGAUUAUUAGCUAAACUGGUAAGCUCGAGACCGUUAGAGGUAACUGGAAUUCCUGGUGUAGGAGUGAAAUGCGUAGAUAUUAGGAGGAACACCGAUAGCGUAGGCAGGUUACUGGGACGGUUCUGACGCUAAGGCACGAAAGCGUAGGGAGCAAACGGGAUUAGAUACCCCAGUAGUC
rnacentral:rRNA from 1 species